rnacentral:rRNA from 1 species
AGUGAACGCUGGCGGUAGGCCUAACACAUGCAAGUCGAACGGCAGCACAGUAAGAGCUUGCUCUUACGGGUGGCGAGUGGCGGACGGGUGAGGAAUACAUCGGAAUCUACUUUUUCGUGGGGGAUAACGUAGGGAAACUUACGCUAAUACCGCAUACGACCUACGGGUGAAAGCAGGGGAUCUUCGGACCUUGCGCGAUUGAAUGAGCCGAUGUCGGAUUAGCUAGUUGGCGGGGUAAAGGCCCACCAAGGCGACGAUCCGUAGCUGGUCUGAGAGGAUGAUCAGCCACACUGGAACUGAGACACGGUCAAGACGCCUACGGGAGGCAGCAGUGGGGAAUAUUGGACAAUGGGCGCAAGCCUGAUCCAGCCAUACCGCGUGGGUGAAGAAGGCCUUCGGGUUGUAAAGCCCUUUUGUGGGGAAAGAAAAGCAGCAGGUUGAUACCCCGCUGUUCUGACGGUACCCAAAGAAUAAGCACCGGCUAACUUCGUG